UGUAAACCUUGUCCUGGACAUUGGUAGCUCCGAACGUAGCGCUUGGAUAAUGUCUUAAAGGAUCUGUAUAUCCAGAGGAAUAUAACGGUAUCUGACCCAAGAAAGACUCCUGUCCUCCGGGUAGAGACACGGGAAAACCGAAGGGGGGUGGCGAGGUGCCAAUCUGAGACCGCGGGGAAACGGACCAGCUGAUCAGUGCCUGACCAAUCCUGAGCACUUCUGACAACAGGAUAACGUGUGGUGGGGGCCCUCUUGUUGCACAGAAUGGAAUCCCCAGGGCAUAUCUAAACACUCAGACGCAAGUGUUUUUCUCCGUUUACCGCAAAAAGAAAAAAAAAGA